rnacentral:rRNA from 1 species
CCUACGGGUGGCAGCAGUGAGGAAUAUUGGUCAAUGGACGAGAGUCUGAACCAGCCAAGUAGCGUGAAGGAUGACUGCCCUAUGGGUUGUAAACUUCUUUUAUAUGGGAAUAAAACGUUCCACGUGUGGGAUUUUGUAUGUACCAUAUGAAUAAGGCUCGGCUAACUCCGUGCCAGCAGCCGCGGUAAUACGGAGGAUCCGAGCGUUAUCCGGAUUUAUUGGGUUUAAAGGGAGCGUAGGUGGAUUGUUAAGUCAGUUGUGAAAGUUUGCGGCUCAACCGUAAAAUUGCAGUUGAAACUGGCAGUCUUGAGUACAGUAGAGGUUGGCGGAAUUCGUGGUGUAGCGGUGAAAUGCUUAGAUAUCACGAAGAACACCGAUUGCGAAGGCAGUUCACUGGACUGCAACUGACACUGAGGCUCGAAAGUGUGGGUAUCAAACAGGAUUAGAUACCCGAGUAGUC